AAGGGACCUAGCGUAGUUCGGAAUUACUGGGCUUAAAGAGUUCGUAGGUGGUUAAAAUAGUUGGUGGUGAAAUCCCAGAGCUUAACUCUGGAACUGCCAUCAAAACUUUUUAGCUAGAGUAUGAUAGAGGAAAGUAGAAUUUCUAGUGUAGAGGUGAAAUUCGUAGAUAUUAGAAAGAAUACCGAUUGCGAAGGCAGCUUUCUGGAUCAUUACUGACACUGAGGAACGAAAGCAUGGGUAGCGAAGAGGAUUAGAUACCCUCGAAGUCCAUGCCGUAACCGAUGUGUGAUAGACGUUGGAAAUUUAUUUUCAGUGUCGCAGCGAAAGCAAUAAACACACCGCCUGGGGAGUACGACCGCAAGGUUAAAACUCAAAUGAAUUGACGGGGACCCGCACAAGUAGUGGAGCAUGUGGUUUAAUUCGAAGAUACGCGCAGAACCUUACCAACACUUGACAUGUUCGUCGCGACUCUAAGAGAUUAGAGUUUUCGGUUCGGCCGGACGAGACACAGGUGCUGCAUGGCUGUCGUCAGCUCGUGUCGUGAGAUGUUGGGUUAAGUCCCGCUACGAGCGCAACCCUCACUUUUAGUUGCCAUCAUUAAGUUGGGCACUCUGAAAGAACUGCCAGUGAUAAGCUGGAGGAAGGUGGGGAUGACGUCAAGUCCUCAUGGCCCUUACGUGUUGGGCUACACACGUGCUACAAUGGCAUCUACAACAGGAAGCAAAACGGCAACAUUAAGCAAAUCCCGAAAAGAUGCCUCAGUUCGGAUUGCACUCUGCAACUCGAGUGCAUGAAGCUGGAAUUACUAGUAAUCGUGGAUCAGCGUGCCACGGUGAAUACGUUCCCGGGUCUUGUACACACCGCCCGUCACACCAUGGGAGUUGGUUCUACCUUAAGGCAAGGUUUUAAACCCUUGACCACGGUAUAGUCAGCGACUGGGGUGAAGUCGUAACAAGGUAGCCGUAGGGGAACCUGCGGCUGGAUUACCUCCUUUCUAAGGAUGAAUGAAAGUAAAAUUUCAUUCUAAAUAAUAUACAUCGGUAAUGUUGACCGUCCUCAUUUCUCUUCUUAAAGUAAUGUUUCCUUCUUGUAGGGCCGGUAGCUCAGUUGGUUAGAGCACACCCUUGAUAAGGGUGGGGUCGAAAGUUCGAGUCUUUCUCGGCCCACCAAUCUUAACUGGGGGAUUAGCUCAUCUGGGAGAGCGCCUGAUUUGCAUUCAGGAGGUAGCAGGUUCGAUCCCUGUAUCCUCCACCAGGAAACAUUUAGUUAUUAAAACUGUAAAUAAAAAUAAUUUAUAUCAAUAUCUAUAUCCGAACAUUAAAAGUUAUUAUUUAAUGUUCAAAAUAAAAAUUUGAUCACAUCACAGAAAAGUUUUUUUCUGUGCAUAAAUCAAGCGUUUAAGGGCGUGUGGCGGAUGCCUUGGCACUGAAAGCCGAUGAAGGACGUGAUAUACUGCGAUAAGUUUCGGGGAGCUGUAUGUAAGUUUUGAUCCGAAAAUUU
rnacentral:sRNA from 1 species